rnacentral:rRNA from 1 species
UACGUAGGGUGCGAGCGUUGUCCGGAAUUAUUGGGCGUAAAGAGCUCGUAGGCGGUCUGUCGCGUCGAUCGUGAAAACUUGGGGCUUAACCCUGAGCUUGCGGUCGAUACGGGCAUGACUGGAGUUCGGCAGGGGAGACUGGAAUUCCUGGUGUAGCGGUGAAAUGCGCAGAUAUCAGGAGGAACACCGGUGGCGAAGGCGGGUCUCUGGGCCGGUACUGACGCUGAGACGCGAAAGCGUGGGGAGCGAACAGG